rnacentral:rRNA from 1 species
AGCAGUGGGGAAUUUUGGACAAUGGGCGCAAGCCUGAUCCAGCAAUGCCGCGUGAGUGAAGAAGGCCUUCGGGUUGUAAAGCUCUUUUGUCAGGGAAGAAACGGUGAAGGCUAAUAUCCUUUGCUAAUGACGGUACCUGAAGAAUAAGCACCGGCUAACUACGUGCCAGCAGCCGCGGUAAUACGUAGGGUGCAAGCGUUAAUCGGAAUUACUGGGCGUAAAGCGUGCGCAGGCGGUUUUGUAAGUUUGUCGUGAAAGCCCCGGGCUCAACCUGGGAACUGCGAUGAAGACUGCAAGGCUUGAAUCUGGCAGAGGGGGGUAGAAUUCCACGUGUAGCAGUGAAAUGCGUAGAGAUGUGGAGGAACACCGAUGGCGAAGGCAGCCCCCUGGGUCAGAUUGACGCUCAUG